GUUAUGCCGCAAGUAUUUUGGUUAGUCAGUUUUUUGUAUGCUAUAGUUACAUAAUUGUAGCUUACUCCAUAGACAGAACAGUUGGGGAUCUUUUCUUCACUGCUGGCACUUAAUUGUGUCCAUCUGCAGAAGUACUAGACUGAUACCAGAUGCAGAGUGAGACAGUCUCUUCCCUGGGCAUAAGAAAAGCCUUUUUCAAGGUAACAACUUGGACCAGAGAUGAACAACGCCAGCCUUUGAGUACAGUCUAUAUAGUUUGAUUUAACAGCCUCCUGGUGGUCCAGCAGCAGGAUGCCACAUCCCAGGUUUGAUUCCCAGGCAGGGAGCUAAUCCAGCCACUGAGGAGCUAACUCUUUUUUCCGGUCUUAAGCCUGGAUAAAAUGGGAGGGUUGUGUCAGGAAGGGCAUCUGUAAUAAAACCUUUGCUAAAUCAAAUAUGCAGGCCAGGUGAUCCGCUAUGGUGACGCUGAACAGGGAGCAGCCAAAAGAACAACAACAUGAUGUUUGGAAGCAUUUAGCACAUCUUUGAGAGCAAUGACACAAUUAUGAACUGCAUCAGAAUAAAAAAGUAAUUAAAUUAAAUUCCCUGUGACACCAAAGAUGAAACUCUCUGCCAGCCCGUGCAAGAUGGUUGUUCAUAUGUUAAAAACAGCAUGGAGCAUCAUUUAUCACCUUCUUUCAUAAACUAUGUAAGGUAUGUGUAAAUAUUAUC